UGCACCAGAGGAGACCUUUCAGAGCCCCCUCUCUGAUCCUUCUGCUUGCUCACUUGAGCAAGGCUCUCCUUCUGCCAAAGAGAUUGCACUUGGGGAUACAAAUCCAAGUGGCAGGAUCUCGAAUGCUCUUGAGUCACAGCAGAGAGCCUGUAUCCACAUAGAGUAUUUGGGCAGCUCCAUUCCUCCUUUGUUUUUUCAUGCAAACGCCAUUGCCAUUUCUACCUCAAAUAGAGGUACCACAGCUGACCAAAACCAGACAAGUGGGUCAUAUUCCAAAAGCAGCAUGGAGUGCAUGAAUGAAGAUGAGCAUACCCCAAUUUCACAACAUGCCAAAGACACUGUAGGGGUGACUUCCACCUUUAAGAAACAACAGACAAUUUACAAGGAAAUCAUGAGCUUGUUCACAGAGUGAGAAGGAAGGAAAUUACAAGGAGAGUUGUGGUUUGAAAUAUUUUAUUAAUUUCAAAUCCUACUUGGCAGACCUAUUAGGCAAUCAUACCCUAACGCUAACCCCCUAGGACUAGUUGUAACCCUAACACUAAACCUAAACCUAAACCUAGUCAUAACACUAACUCUAACCAUAACCGUAGUCCUAAACCUAGUCCUAAACCUAAGCCUAAGCCUCAGCCUAAGCCUAAACCUAAACCUAAGCCUAAGCCUAAAACUAAGCCUAAACUUACGCCUAAAUCUAAGCCUAAGCCUAAGCCUAAGCCUAAACCUAAGCCUAACCCUAAACCUUACCCUUAUCCUAACCUACAAUCCUGUCUAAGCUGAUUGAGAACUAAGUGGUGCUGAUGUCUUGUAAUGUCUCCUUCCUCUUCUUCACUGCAACAAUCAGGGGCACCAGGCUGGAUGCAGGCUCAGCAAAUCUUACAAAUGGAUGCUGCACCAAGGAAAAAAGAAAAUCAACAGAAGUCAAUGAACCAUGAAUUUCCAAACUCAGUGCUUCACAGGAUUCACAGGUCUCCUAGAAAGAUCCAGAAAGAUGGACCAUCUGCACCUUCAUCUUUAUGUGCAGGACCUUGCCAUCACAGGCAAACCUGGCCCAGACUCCCACUCAUCCAUUUAUCUAGGACACUUGCACCCGAUGACCUUUACAGGGCCCUGCCAGCCCAGCCCAGUCUAGGACUCCUCACCAUUUUCAUUUGAAGAACACCAAGAGUGUAGGUGAGGAGGAAGGGGGCUCAUCUGAUGCCUUGGACUUCCGUGGAGGAGGAGCCCAUCCCUCGCACCCUGUUUCACCUGCGGCCCCUUUGCAUUUUACCUGCAGGAGCUCCUUGGCAGACCAGCGCUGCUCCUUGUCUGUCUGCAGGCAGAUGCUCAGGAAGUCACACAGCCAAGGUGAAAACAGGUUGGGCUGCAGCAGCUUUGGUAUCCCUCGUCUGGCUAUCACGAGUCGAGGCUGGGGAAAAGGAAACACGAGUCUCCACCUGCUGCUUUCACAUCUGUAACUGCUCUCCCAGAUCCCACUGUUUAACCCCUGUUCUUCAGUGGCAGUCACUGCCCUGGCAGAGACCCAGAGAUGACUUUCCUUCACCAACCAAACACCCAAACCCCGAUGCAGCCACAGCUUUUCCAACAUUCAGCAGAUCUUGCCUUGGCAGCUGAUUUCAUUGACUGACCUACUCAGUGGGAACUACAUCACCAAAAGCAUGUUUUGUUUCUCUGAGGAUUCACACACACCUGACAGGCAAUUUGGAAGGGGAAGUUUGCUCUAUCUAUACUAUUUCCAAGGAUUAUUACAUGAAAAUAAUCUCUGCAGUGCUUGUUGGUCCCUUAAGCACAGCUGCCAUAAAACAAAAAUCAUCAAGGUUUUUUUUCUCCUCUUUUAAAAAAUGCAGAAGCAGAAUCCAUCUAAAAUAGACAGCAAUAACAAUGGGAAGAGGCCUUGGAGUCUCCAUGAAAGUGCCUGCCACCAUAGUAAGAGCUCUGUGCUGGUGGCACUGAAACAGAUGGUGACCAAAGAGACUUUGUGACUUUCUUGUUCAACCCAGAGGAAAAUUUCCUUCACUUUUCCCACACCACCAGAGGUCACAAAGAGGGUUUUAUCCUGUCCCUCUGCAGCUGAGCUCAGCCACUGGACACGGUGGGGAGCUGGAGUCCUCACUGCCAUUAGAACUGUGCAGCCCAGGGAUGGCCCUGCUCCUGUGCUGCAGAAACACAGCACCGGCGCCGACUGCCCAUGGUGGAUCCCAGCCCAGGCACCUGGCUGCAAGCUCACCAACUUGUUAAAGCACCAAGAAACAGCCAAGGGUUGGCAUACAAUUCCAACUGCAGUCAGAGCAAAACACAUCCUAAACAUCUCCAGGCCACCCACAAUGUACAGACUAUUUGAAAGCCUGAAAGUUUUGAAGACCUGCAGGACUUGGAAAAGACACGACAGAAUGGAGGAAAAUUGAUGUGCUUUGGUUAAUAAAGAGAAAAGCAAGCAGAACUGCUUGGGCAUUGCUUUGGUGUUUUUUUCUCAUUUCUUUCUUUUUCUUUUUCUUUUUCUUUUUCUUUUUCUUUUUCUUUUUCUUUUUCUUUUUCUUUUUCUUUUUCUUUUUCUUUUUCUUUUUCUUUUUCUUUUUCUUUUUCUUUUUCUUUUUCUUUUUCUUUUUCUUUUUCUUUUUCUUUUUCUUUUUCUUUUUCUUUUUCUUUUCUUUUUUUCUCUUCCUUUUCCUUUUUUUCUUAUCCAUUUUCUCUUCCUUUUCAAUCUCCUUUUUUCUUUUUCUAUAUAAUUGAAACUAGGAUGAUUGAACCUCCAUUUUGAAGGAUAUUUAUCACACAUCCAACCAUUCCACUGAAAAAUUUUUUUCCUUCAGAGACAGAGCUCCAACACUGUUCAAAAAGCAAAUGAGAAAUGCCAGGCAUGGCUAGAGGCCUAAAUGGCAGGUUCCUGAACUGGUUAGGUGUCUGAACUGCUUAGGUUUCUGAACUGCCACUUCCCUUCUGAUGCAACCAAAGCUACAGCAGAUUCUGAUGUGCUGCAGGGACAUUUUUACAAGGGGAUGGUGGAAGUAGUUCCAGCAGAUUUUGGCAACGGGAUUUUGUCCAAUGGCACGCAGGGCAUGGGACAGGUGAGAAAGACAGAGGGAUCAGUGAGCAUUUGCUCCUUACCAUGCCAGAAGUUUCUUUCCAGUAAGGAGCUUCUCGUUCUACCAUUUCAAUGCCCACAAUUCCAAAAGACCAUAUGUCCACUUUGGGGCCAUAUGGUUGACCUGUCACCACUUCAGGCGCCAUCCACCCAGAAGUGCUGGCCACGGAGCUCUGUCUACUCUGCUCAGGAGUGAGCUGAGCAAAGAGGCCAAAGUCAGCUGUGGAGAAAACAACAAACCAUCAAAGCCAGCUCCAUUUAGGAAACUAAGCAAAAAAAUUCCCCACUCUCAGUCUAAGAAUGCACUGUGUCAUCUGCUGGAAAUCUGUCCCUGCUCUAUUUCCUCAGGGCUUUAGCCAAGUGUUAGAAAUAUGGUUAGUAAUUUGUAGAAAUAAAAGAUGUAUGAAAUAUAUAUGUGUAAAAUAAACGGCCGGUACACAUCUUCCCCAGGAUGGCGAAACCACGGCAGAUGGGCAGAGUGGCGUCACCACAUUUACAUGCGAAAUACAACCUGGGCUGCACAGGAGAUGGGCAUUCACAGAAGCAUGCACCCAGUGACGCCCAAGCGUGGAUGGCCUGGACGAGGUACCUAUCUGAGAUGGCCAAAGCCAUCAACACCUUUCCAUCUGAAUGCCAGAUUCCGGGAAUCGGGGAAACGUAUUAUUCUAUUCCCAGACGAAGAUUUUGUGCAGCCCGAACCGAAGAAUGAAACCAGCUUGAAUAUGCAGAACUUAGAAGGAGACAAAGAGACUCUGCCGCGGGCAAAAUAAAUCGUAUAAGAACUGCUAACUCGGAGCAGCCAGUGUGGACGAGGAGAAUUUGGUGCUAGCGAGACCAAUCUCACGUCCACCCGGCUCACCUCCCGGGGGUGGUACGCUGUCCGAUUCAUUGGUGGCUGUCGGGAAUGUAUUACGGUCGCGAAAUAAAUUUUAUUUUUAAUUUUUUUAUCAAAAUUGGCUAUUUUUCAUUUUUCAUUUAUAACACAAGGAAAAAAGGAAUUGUCCACUUCAAAAAAACCUCAUCAUUUUUUUACACUACCUCCAUCAGUGGCCUUUUUAUCUGAAGCUUUAGACUUGUAGCUCCCUCCCUCUUGAAAGGACACACACAAACCAAUGCCACUGUUGACUGCUUGUGGUUCCUUGUCAUACCUCUGUGCACAUUGCAACCAUGUCACCAGCUCACAGAGGGGUCCCUGCACUGUCACCAGCACCAUUUCUGGGGAGCUGGGAGUCACUCCAAGCAGCCCCACACCCACAUCCCUGGAAUGCUGCACCUGACCAAGAAUACACUGACCCAGCUUGACAGAGCCGUCGGUUCUGAGAAGGAUGUUGCAGCUCUUCAGACCUCGGUGGAUCAUGUGGUUUGAGUGAAGAAAAUCCAGUCCUCGCAGGCACUGAGAGAGAAAACAGAAACAGGAGAGCAAAACUAAGUGAUGUGAUUUCAUCACAAAAGAAAGGAAA